rnacentral:lncRNA from 1 species
GAUAACAAUAUUUUUGUGGGAUGAAAGUGAAAAAUAUAGUGCAAUUAAUUAACUAAUCUUUGUUGAAUACAUAAGUUAGAAAUAUUAUCUUUUGACCGUUUAAGUUUUUACAGAACAACAAUUGUUUUUACAUAAUUUAGCAUAAUAUUGGAGUAGGAUGUCAUGAGUAAAAAGUCUCGAGUUCAGAUGUGAAGAAAAAUAUUUUAUAUAUAAAUUAGACACAUCAGUCUCUGACAGUUUAAACUUUUCGAGAAAAUUAAUUAUUUCAUAUAAUUUAACAUUCUUAAAGAUUAAGAUCUGAUUACUAAAAAGAGAUAGGAAAGAAAAAAAAAUUAGGCACCAAUGUAGAAUAGCUCUUCCAUAAAAGCACAUGAAGUUCAUAAGCACACAUGCAUUAUUGGUGUUGUGUUUAAAAUAUGUUCUCACAAAUGUGUACAUGGAAAAACCCAAAUAUGUUAGUUAGAGAUCGUAUAUAUAUGAGUCAAUUAUUUUGACAAGAUGCAUGCUAUAUAUAUCUAAUUAGUACGUGUACUUUGUUCACACAAAAUAGUUGGUCACUUUUGUUUCACUUUAUCAAAAAUUUUUUAGGACAAACUUUAAAACCUGGUUUCGUAUUUUCUUACUUUAAUACUAUAUGAUUUAAAGUGUAUCAAUUUAGUACCAUGUGUGAUUUUAUUUUUCUUUUUUUAUCAGCUCCUUUGUUAACGUUUUGUUAAAUUAUAUACAAAAAUUUUAGAUAUCCCAUCUAGCUUUAUUGAAUAUUCACUUUAGUACCUUUUAGUUUUAACUUUGUUACUGAUUUAACAAAAAAAAAUAGUGAAGGAGACAAUAAUAAUAAUAUAUAGAAAAAUGAAACCACGGGGUACUAAAUUGAUACACUUUAAACCAAAGAAUUCUUAUAAAUUGUACUGAUGUUUUCCCAAAAUUUUAUUUCACUUUUUUGUCUAGAGUUUUACAUUAUGUUUGUUUUAAAAAAUUUCUAAUAUUAGAUCUAAUUUGGAUGGGAUUGAAAUCUUUUGGUUUGGUACAUAUAAUACUUGAUGUGGAUAAGAAAUUGUUAGUUUAUUUGAUUUUGAUGAAAAAUAUUAUGUUUAAAUACUGAUUUACUCAAAUUUCAGUGCAGCAUAUAGAUUAAAUGUAAAGUUUUACUUUUUAUUGAGUUAAAAUGUAGAAUGAUAAAUAGUAUUACAAACCUUUUGUGACUAAAUAAUAAAUAGUCAUUAUAUAUUUGAUAAAGGAUAAAUUGUAUUAUUACCCCUGAACUUUUGGCGAAGUUUCACUUUACCUCUCGAAUUUCUAAAAUGGACAUGCAUCUAACCCCCUAAACUCUAAUAUUUCGUUCAUGUUACCCCUUCCAUCAGUUUUCCGUCAAGCUCCGUUAACCGGAAACUGACGGAAGGGAUAAAACGAAUGAAAUAUUAGAGUUUAGGGUGUUAGAUGUCUAUUUUAGGAGUCUGAGGGGUUAAAUGAAGUACAAAUAUUUUAUUUAAGUGUAUUUUAUAGAACAAUGCUUCUAAAGAUAAAAGGGACAAACGAGUACUACAGAAAAUUAACUGAGAAUUAAAAUCUCUAUAUCCGAGUGAGGACACCUAUUAUAAAUCAACCAUAUUAGCGAGUACAUCAGGAUAGUAGAGUGCUCGAGCAUCGUAGGUAGUUAGUAUCGCUCUUUCUUUAUCUUUAAGCCACUCUAAUUCAUUUCUUUCACUUUUAUUUUAUUACAAUAAAAUAUAGGAUAAACUAUGGUAUGAUUUAUUUUAAGAUAAAAAAUAUAUAUAAAUUCAAAAUCAAGUAUGAUCAUUAAUUUGAGGAUUAGUAGUCAAUUCAUAAGUAACAUAUUAUAAUAAGAUAAUUUAUAGUCAAGAGUCCGCUACGGAGUAAAUUGUACUACUAUCUCUUGAACUAUGUAAUGAGUCAAUUAUUUUAUAGUGAACAGUGCAAUUUACCCAUUUGAUAAGUAUCAAUAGGAUUUGAAAAUUUUAUAGUGAACGAAACAAUAUUUGGCCAAACUAUAAAUUUUGUAGCAGCAAUCGCUAUAGUAAAAUUUUCACGAAUUAUACUAUUUAUGCCUAAAAAUAUUUUUUCCAUAAAAAGUUAGGAAUUUUGACAGCUGCUUACUGGCCUUUUGUGACAAAUGUUGAAAAUUUAGCAGCGAAUAGGUUAGCCACAAAGAUUGAACCGGUUUUUUUGAGGCGAAUAAGUUUUGGCCAUGGUAAUCUUUUACAGCGAUUUAACUGUACGCAACAACAAAAUAAUUUUCGCCAAAAAAUUGCGGCGAAUUAUUAUGUUUUUGUGGCUAUUUGUUU